rnacentral:rRNA from 1 species
AGCGAACGCUGGCGGCAGGCUUAACACAUGCAAGUCGAGCGGGUGUAGCAAUACAUCAGCGGCAGACGGGUGAGUAACGCGUGGGAACGUACCUUUUGGUUCGGAACAACCCAGGGAAACUUGGGCUAAUACCGGAUAAGCCCUUACGGGGAAAGGUUUAUCGCCGAAAGAUCGGCCCGCGUCUGCUUAGCUAGUUGGUGAGGUAAUGGCUCACCAAGGCGACGAUCAGUAGCUGGUCUGAGAGGAUGAUCAGCCACAUUGGGACUGAGACACGGCCCAAACUCCUACGGGAGGCAGCAGUGGGGAAUAGUGGACAAUGGGGGCAACCGUGGUCCAGCCAUGCCGCGUGAGUGAUGAAGGCCCUAGGGUUGUAAAGCUCUUUUGGGCGGGAAGAUAAUGACGGUACCGCAAGAAUAAGCCCCGGCUAACUUCGUGCCAGCAGCCGCCGUAAUAC